UUCUCACACCGGGAAUCGAAUCCGGGCCUUUUGAAUGAAACCCAAAUAUCCUAGCCACUAGACAACGUAAGA